rnacentral:lncRNA from 1 species
GCGUUUGUGGGCGGUGCUUGCCGAGAGCAGUGACGUUUGUGGGCGGUGCUUGCCGAGAGCAGUGACGUUUGUGGGCGGUGCUUGCUGACAGUGGAACCGUGAGGAAGAACGGGUUUUGAAAAAUUUGGAGAAGUAAGUCGAGGGAUUCGUGCGACUUGUUCCCUGGAGGAGGCCAUUUGGCCCAUCAAAGCCUGCACUAUGAGUCCUAUGACUGCCAACCUCUGGUUGGUCAGUCCAUGCUCUACCCUUUUCAAUGCUGAGCAUCAAGCAAGGAAGCAGCACGUACUUUGUAUGUCAUUGACCAAAAAGAGAUACCAGGAGUGACAUCUGAAGGGUUUUAAACAACUUUGUUGGCUGUAUCUUCCUUCUGGAGCAAAAAGCUCGCCUGUUCGAAGAACAGAGAGCUAUAGCGAUACCCCCGGCGUGAGCGUGAGCGUCAGCGUGAGCGUGAGUGUCAGCGUCAGCGUGAGCGUGAAAAUGCUAAAAUUUUUGGUGCAAGUUAUUUUCUUUCUAAUGUUUUUAUCUACCACACUAUUUUUUACUUACAUACGUAUAUUACAUGUAUAUUACAAUAUACAAUAUACAAUUUUACUUGCA